GGUCAUGUAGGUCAUCGUCCGAUCAGAGUCUACAGCUGAUUGACCUACUUUCGAGGUGCCAUCCUAGUGCCAUCCCUGCGAAGUCAGCAAGUUUCCCUGUCGUCUUCAUCUAAAUAUUAAUUUGCGUCUGAGGUCUUCACCAAUCAGCCGUGCAAUAGAUGAGGUCAUCCUUUAAUGACGUAGCUUGUGGUAUAAAAAGUCCGUGGAAACUUUGGCGUCAAGCAGUGCCCGGGAAUCCACACCACAACAUGCUUGUGUCAAGCUACCGGGACCGCAGCGGACGAAGCGGGUGGCGGGACCGCGUGCAAAGUCGGGACGUCCCCGUUAGUCAGAAGAGGCCGUUCGUUACCAUCAUGUGGUAGCCCCCGGACUACAGAAGGAUGGCACGUAUCCCAGUCUUGGAUGAAUUGGAGUGUCAGCCGAUAUCCCCCAACAAAUAUCAAAUGUGCCAUCAUCAUGAAAGCCAAAAAA